rnacentral:rRNA from 1 species
AUUGAACGCUGGCGGCAGGCCUAACACAUGCAAGUCGAGCGGAUGAAGGGAGCUUGCUCCUGGAUUCAGCGGCGGACGGGUGAGUAAUGCCUAGGAAUCUGCCUGGUAGUGGGGGAUAACGUCCGGAAACGGGCGCUAAUACCGCAUACGUCCUGAGGGAGAAAGUGGGGGAUCUUCGGACCUCACGCUAUCAGAUGAGCCUAGGUCGGAUUAGCUAGUUGGUGGGGUAAAGGCCUACCAAGGCGACGAUCCGUAACUGGUCUGAGAGGAUGAUCAGUCACACUGGAACUGAGACACGGUCCAGACUCCUACGGGAGGCAGCAGUGGGGAAUAUUCGACAAUGGGCGAAAGCCUGAUCCAGCCAUGCCGCGUGUGUGAAGAAGGUCUUCGGAUUGUAAAACACUUUAAGUUGGGAAGAAGAACAGUAAAUUAAUACCUUGCUGUUUUGACGUUACCAACAGAAUAAGCACCGGCUAACUUCGUG